GCAGCUGUGCUAUAUAAUAAAUCAGUUGUAGAUUUCGUAUGUUCUACUAUUUCGUACAGAAAUCCGUUUCUAUUUUUCAGGAAUAUUGUGAGAAUGAUGAAACGCUAUCAUGGUACCAGUGUCCGUAACACGAAUUUUUGUCAGAAUCCCUGACAGUGUUUAAACGAUGAGCAAUCAUUAUUGCUAGUGUUAAUUGAAAAUGUGGCCGGAAAAUAUUUGAUUUUUCGCUUAGAAUUAUUGAGCCACUCCGCCCAUGAUUAUAAGUUAUUUUUGUAUAAGCACAGAAUAGAUUUUUUUGACUUUUUUUUUUUUAUACGGAGAGUGGCGAAGUACUCAGCGUUCACGGGUGAC